GACGAGGUGGUCGAGUGGUAUAAGGCGAUGGACUGCUAAUCCAUUGUGCUCUGCACGCGUGGGUUCGAAUCCCAUCCUCAAUC